rnacentral:rRNA from 1 species
GACGAACGCUGGCGGCGUGCCUAAUACAUGCAAGUUGAGCGCUGAAGGUUGGUACUUGUACCAACUGGAUGAGCAGCGAACGGGUGAGUAACGCGUGGGGAAUCUGCCUUUGAGCGGGGGACAACAUUUGGAAACGAAUGCUAAUACCGCAUAAAAACUUUAAACACAAGUUUUAAGUUUGAAAGAUGCAAUUACAUCACUCAAAGAUGAUCCCGCGUUGUAUUAGCUAGUUGGUGAGGUAAAGGCUCACCAAGGCGAUGAUACAUAGCCGACCUGAGAGGGUGAUCGGCCACAUUGGGACUGAGACACGGCCCAAACUCCUACGGGAGGCAGCAGUAGGGAAUCGUCGGCAAUGGACGAAAGUCUGACCGAGCAACGCCGCGUGAGUGAAGAAGGUUUUCGGAUCGUAAAACUCUGUUGGUAGAGAAGAACGUUGGUGAGAGUGGAAAGCUCAUCAAGUGACGGUAACUACCCAGAAAGGGACGGCUAACUACGUG